GAUGAGUGUUUUAAAUGUGAAGCAGGAGGCCCCGGAGCUGCUACAGGAGGAAGAGGAGGUGAUCUGCAUCAAGGAGGAGCCAAAGGAAGAUCAGGAAGUGACGGCCUCCCUUCUGCCGGACUGCCACGUGCAGCAGGGUCCUUUUCCAGUGUCAGAGGCUCAGCGGUCAGCGACGGAGUGUUUGGGACCUCCAGUGAGCCAGAGAAGUGACACCGCAGCCUUCGGCUCAGCCGGACCCAACCCCCAUCUGAUGCCUCAGCCGGUGGCCUCCCUGCUGCAGCCGAUGGUGGCUCUGCCAUGCGGCGUCCUGCCUCGCCAGGCGCCGCGGCCCUGGCCUAAAGAUCUCAGUCUUUAUGAAGAAUACAAACUGCGCCGCAAUGAGCUCCGCAGGCGAAGCAUCAACAGACGCAGAGAGCUGGAGAAGACGCUGCCUCAGCCACUACUGGCUGACCUGGUGCGAGAGCGUCGUGAGAAGACCAGACUGCGGGUGGCCAGAUGGAGGGCGAAGAGGAAACUCCAGGACUGCAUCAAGCAGGACCACUCUCUAGGUGGCGCUGCAGGUCUUUCUCCAGCGGGCUUUGCUCUCGGCAGCCAGCAUCAGCAGCCCAGAGGGACCUGCGCCUCCGGCAGCCAGCAGAGACUCUCCUCAGCUCCGCCUCCGUCCGACGGCUUCCUCUCAGACCCUCUGCCCUUCAUCCCCACCUCCUCCUCCUCCUCCUCCUCGUUUCUCUAUCUGGGAGGCCACAACAUGGCUCCGCACCAGCACACUGUGACAUCGUCAGCCUGUUGCAGCAGAUCGCCUCGUUGA
ensembl:lncRNA